rnacentral:rRNA from 1 species
AACGAACGCUGGCGGCAUGCCUAACACAUGCAAGUCGAACGAGAUCUUCGGGUCUAGUGGCGCACGGGUGCGUAACGCGUGGGAAUCUGCCCUUUGGUUCGGAAUAACAGUUGGAAACGACUGCUAAUACCGGAUGAUGACGAAAGUCCAAAGAUUUAUCGCCAGAGAAUGAGCCCGCGUGGGAUUAGCUAGUUGGUGUGGUAAAGGCGCACCAAGGCGACGAUCCUUAGCUGGUCUGAGAGGAUGAUCAGCCACACUGGGACUGAGACACGGCCCAGACUCCUACGGGAGGCAGCAGUGGGGAAUAUUGGACAAUGGGCGAAAGCCUGAUCCAGCAAUGCCGCGUGAGUGAUGAAGGCCUUAGGGUUGUAAAGCUCUUUCACCCGGGAUGAUAAUGACAGUACCGGGAGAAUAAGCUCCGGCUAACUCCGUGCCAGCAGCCGCGGUAA